AUACGGAGGAUCCGAGCGUUAUCCGGAUUUAUUGGGUUUAAAGGGUGCUCAGGCGGGGGAUUAAGUCGGCGGUGAAAUUUUGCAGCUCAACUGUAAAAGUGCCUUCGAAACUGGUUUCCUUGAGUGUGGAUGAGGUAGGCGGAAUUUGUGGUGUAGCGGUGAAAUGCAUAGAUAUCACGAGGAACUCCGAUUGCGCAGGCAGCUUACUAAACUACUACUGACGCUCAGGCACGAAGGCGUGGGGAUCAAACAGGAUUAGAUACCCUGGUAGUCCACGCAGUAAACGAUGAUUACUAGCUGUUUGCGAUACAAUGUAAGCGGCUGAGCGAAAGCGUUAAGUAAUCCACCUGGGGAGUACGUUCGCAAGAAUGAAACUCAAAUGAAUUGACGGGG
rnacentral:rRNA from 1 species